rnacentral:piRNA from 1 species
UACCUUAGUGGUGGUUUCUGAGUCACUU